rnacentral:hammerhead_ribozyme from 1 species
AUGGCUGAAGAGCCCCAAAUAAGGCGAAAUGCGCAUCCUAGAU